GACAGAGGGUGCAAACGUUGUUCGGAAUUACUGGGCGUAAAGCGCGCGUAGGCGGCUUUGCAAGUCGAUUGUGAAAUCCCCAGGCUUAACCUGGGAACUGCAUUCGAGACUGCAUAGCUAGAGUAUGGGAGAGGGAAGUGGAAUUUCAGGUGUAGCGGUGAAAUGCGUAGAUAUCUGAAGGAACAUCAGUGGCGAAAGCGACUUCCUGGACCAAUACUGACGCUCAUGUGCGAAAGCGUGGGGAGCAAACAGG
rnacentral:rRNA from 1 species